UCGAGCGCCGACCCCGAAGGCAGAUCGCCCGCUCCGCUCCCAAUCUCCACUGCCUCCACCCGCUUCGCUUGCUUUCUGUACAGUACCCAUCCCCACCCGCCGUUGCUCAAGAGCGGCGCAGCGAUUCCGGCGACUAGACAUGCGGCGGCCUUCGGCGAGGUUGUAAAUCUUAUCGGUGUUUCAAUUGACUUCAAAGUGAAAUCAACAUACCAAUGGAAUAUCCCAACAUCACAGUGCUUCAAUUCGAUGGUUUCCUCAUCAGAAGAAAAUAAAGAAGGUUGUGCCGGACCAAGGUGCUGUGCUGUGGUGGGUCUUGCUGCAGAACCGCCACAACAAGUGACAAAUGAUGGUUGUCGUUGACCUCAUUUAGAAAUAAGUGGCAGAUAUGAACAUUUUUAAGCUCAUGACGUGUUAGUGAGUUUGUUAAGAUGGAUGUGGUACUGUGAUAUUAGUGUGUUAAGUGGAGCAAAUGUGAAACUUUGUCAUUUUUUCUUAUAAUGGAUUAAGCCUGGUUCAGUCAGAUUA